UUCAUGGUGUCAAGUGUGUUUGGUGAGGUGCUAGACAUAAUUCACGACAUGGCUCCAGUUCUUAAUUCUUACUACAUUGCCAGCAGCCAACAACUACAACAGUUGGUUUGCCCUUUGUCUGCCGCCAUGGCUGCGUGCUGAUCAAUGGGCUGUGCUAUGUGCCAAGAACGGCUACCACUACGACCUUGACUGCCACAGUUGUGUGGUCUUUGUAGGAAACAACCGAGAAGGUUUUUUUUUUUUUUUGAAGGUGAAAAACAACCUAGAAGUUGACCCUGUAUUUGCUUGUGCAACCAAGUUCUCAUCACUGACCGGUGCUAUUGACCUAGGAUAUCAAUCACAACUCCAUGUAGUAUUGUACUAACGCUUCUUUACAAGCAACUACAAGCAUAGUCUUCUUCCUCUCAAGUAUGACCUCAGUACACAUGGACUGACAGGCGCAGUAUUGCCAUGACAUAGGAAAGUAGGCACACUAUCGUCUUCUCAUUCCAAAACUGAAUAUUUUAUUCCAAAUCAUAGAUCCACAUUUCAGUCAGUGCUAUGUCGAGUUGUAGCAAAUCUUCAAUAUAACAAUAACUAAACGCAAAAGAUCAACUAUUAUAAAACUGGGAACACAGCCUUUGCAGUCAUAAUCAACCAGCUAAUAAGAUGCCUACUACCCAACUGAAUGCUAAUAAGCAUCAUCCAUGCUAAAAGAGAUGCCUUAUUGUGCCCAGGUGCUACUUCGCCUCGCUCACUAGUGACUGGGGUGACCCCAGUCCCAACCGCCAUCUGAAACUGUCAUGCAUACAAGUUCCCUAAAAAAUACCUGGAUUGUAGAAGGCCACGCAGGGAAAGACGGCGGCGCCUUCCUUAUCUUCAUCUACCACCCUCCGUUGGAGAGACUUGAGGUCUAGUGAGAAGACACCCUCAUCAAACGAGGUCACAAAGACGAUGUCAAAUCCCUCUGCGGAACCAACCAGAAGUAGUGAUCUGUAUCUAAUAACGGGGACCAACGUCUGGAGCUCAAUGACCCUACGUGGUACCCAUCCUCCUCAAUGUUUUAAAUGUCUGGCUAAGCACCUUAGCGGUAAGGGUUUGAAUCAGCUAAAAUGGCUAUAGCCGGCUAUAGCUUGCAGCUAAACCAUUUAGCGGUUUUAGAAGAAAAUAUGACAUAUCUUCAUAUUAGAGCACAAACUCAUAACCAGCCAAAUUUGUUAAUAUAUCUAAUAUCUAUUUCACAUAUCAAUAAGCAUCUAGUAAUGAAGAAGCAAAGAAAACGUGGGAACUGGACAACUGGUAACCUGCCUUGCUGCUGCUGCUGGGAUUCCGACAUGGCGAGGAAAUUUUUGUGCGUCUGUCAGAUGCAGGGGCUUGCUUGCUACUUAGAGACGACGGCUUCGCUGAUGUCUUGAUGGCGCUCCAACGGCAACCUGCUGUUGAUGCAUGGUCGUGCUGAAACCUGAAGCCGAUCUGGAAUUAUGGAUGCUGCCCGCGGUGGUGGUGGACGGCUGGACGCCAGGAGGAUGCAGGGCGACGCGUGAGGUGUGAAGCAAGGGGCUGGGCGAAGCAACAACGGCGACUAGCUACUCACAACGGUGGUGGCGUGUGGAAAGGGACUGGCUGCUCGCAACGGCGGCGGCGUGUGCGAAGGUUGUGCUCAUAUAAGCUAGGGUUAGAUAACUGGUCAACAGUGAGCGUGCCCACCCC
rnacentral:lncRNA from 1 species